CAUUCAGGAGACAACUUGCUCAUUUUGCUCAUCCUGAACAUGCCAAGGCAGCUUGGCAGCUCAUAGUUUAAAUGGGAAAUUGGAGAUUGUUGUCAUGAAUAUAAAGGUUUCAUGUGUUAGAGAUCAUGUAGGAAGUUAAGAUACAACUGCAAAAUCUGCAAAUUUGAUGAUUAUGAAGGUGGAUUGAGCAUGUAAGGUGUGAACGCAGAAGAUGAACAAUUAGAUUGAAGGAAUUUGAAAGUUGAAUAUGAGCAGCAACCUGAAGCUGAAUAAUUAGAGUUUCUAAAGUUUUGCAGAUUUAUAAUAAAGCAUAGCAUAUAGAUGAAGACUGGGAAUCUAACAUCAUAAAAAUAUUAUAUUAUAUAUAACAGGGAGAAAAGUACUUGGAAUUUGUAACUAGUAUUGUUUCAAUAAAGGAAUUUUCAUUCAUGUUCAACACAAUAUUCACAAGUAAAGAAAAAUAAUGAAAGUUUGAGUAUUCUUUUUUUACAUAUUUACAAUAUAUAACAGAGGUCAAAAACCCCCACAAAUUGGCUAAAAAACCCCGCAAAUCAGCCGCAUUUUUUGUAGUGAAAGUAGGCCUAAGAAAGCGCUUUUCUGGAAAAAGAGCUGCUAUAGGGGGUGCUACGAGAGCGCUUUUCUAGAAAAAGCGCUGCUAUAGAGGAGGCUACGAAAGCGCU